rnacentral:lncRNA from 1 species
UUUUUUUUUUUUUUUUUUUUUUGAGACCGGUUCUCACUCUGUGCCUAGGCUGGAGUGCAGUGGUGCGAUCUUAGCCUCAAUCUCUCCGGGCUCAUGUGAUCCUCCUGCCUGUCCUCACUGUAGCUGGGACUACAGGCUCACACCACCACGCCUGGCUUUUUGUAUUUUUUUUGUAGAGAUGGGGUUUCCCCAUGUUGUCCAGGCUGGUCUUGAACUCCUGGGCUCACAAAGUGCUGUAAUCACAAAGUGCUGGGAUUACAGCUGCGAGCCAGUGUGCCCAGCCUCUCCUUAUUCUUUAACAGCUUUUGCUUUACAUAUUCUGAAUGUAUGUCAUUAGACGAAAACAUGCUCAUGACUAUUUUAUCUUCUUCUUGUAGUGUUUCUUUUAUCUCUAAGAAAUAUUUCCUCUUAGUUUCUUUUCACCUUGACUUCAACUUUGAUAUUAAUAUUCCUACACCCACUUUGUGCUAGUGUUUUCCAGAUAUGGUAAGUUGAUCAAAAAGAUGACACAAUAACUCCUUCCCUUCCUGAAUCCAUACGCCUUGUGACUUUGCCUCUGUUCUAAUAAGAGGUGAAGUCCAUUUCCUUAUUCGUUGAAUCAUGUUUGGCAUUGUGACUUGUGAAUACAGAAGGCAGCAGAACUAAUGCUAUGGGACAUCUGAGUCUAGUCCUCACCAGGUCUCCCAGCUGCUGAUCUCAUCACCUGGAACGCUGCUCCCACCAUGUGUAGAAGCCUGGGUUAGUGUCCUGGAGGAUGAGAGACAAUGUGGAGGGUGAGGCUGGCCAACAGCCUGCACCAGCUGUGUAAGACCAUCUGAGAUGACUGUAGCUGCAUGAGUGAACCCAGGGGAGACAUGCAGAGACUUGCCCAGCUGUCUUACUUGUUACUUUAAGCCAUUCAGUUUUUUCUAAGAUAAAAAAGGUUAGUUUAUCUAGGCAGAAAUAGUAUGUAAAUAAUUAUACAAGUAGUACAUGGAUAUGACGAAAACCUUGAAGCUGAUGUGCAAAGAGCUGAAAUUUGGAAAAUACUUAAUGAGAGAAUGGCCUAAAGAGCUAUUCGGUACUCUGAAUUCCCCAAAGGCAAGGACCAAUAUUUAUCCACCUCCGAUAUCUCCUCCGGAACCUUACACAGUACUUGGAACACAGUGGACUCUCUACAAAUACCAAAUUGGGAAUUAACUCUUAUUAUAAACACUGAGUGUCAGCCCUGGUUCUUCCGGGCUCCAAAACUAACAUAUGAGUAGAUUUCUCCAGGUAGACAAGAGUGAGGUAAACCCCCAAGAAUCAGGAACUAGAGCCAAGUAAAGAAUAAGCCCCGAGAAGCUUUGAGUAAAAAAGGAUACUGUUUGCACAUUGCGUAUUGGAAAACAAGUAGAAAGUCCAAAAACAAAAUAAAAACUUACAGCAGGAAGAAAAAAAAAAAAA